rnacentral:ncRNA from 1 species
AUACAUGCUGGCAUAGUGCAGCUUCCAAGAGAAAUCUUGGAUGAAAAACGAGGUGAAUUGCGGGAAACCUAAGUUACUCCGCUGGAGAAUAAGGUAAUCCGCAGCCAAGCCCUUUCCUAGUUUUAUGCGAGAAAGGGAAGGUUCAGAGACUAUCCUAUAAAGGAGUACUGUCCACCAACAGGUGGAUGGGAAGCGCCUCGCAUCCUAAUCCGCCAUCUGGCGGAAGGAUGAUGAAAUAGUCCAUCCCUUUAUGAAAAUAGAGG